CCAGGUUCCUAGCAGAGGGAAGAAGCCCCAGCACCUAGGACAAUUAAAUGCUGCAAGUGUGGACCAGGGAGUUAGAGAGCUCCUGGAUGGCUGCUGGGGCCUGCAGGCUGAGGCCCUGAGAGACCCAUCUAUUCCGUGUGAUGGGGUACACCUGCCCCGUAAUGGACAGAAAGGGCUUAACCCCAUACGGCCCCCUCGCCCCUGCUGGGCAUGCUCCAACUGGAAUCUCAGUAGAACAGUGAGCAGCCCAGUUCAGUCUGUUCUCUCCUCUGCGGUCAGAGGACAUGUAUUGCAGGCUCCUAGCCAGGAGCUGUCAGAGCCCCAGACCACGGAGUCCAGCCACACCGAGACCCAGGCAAAAGAGGCAAAACCCAGGCUAUGGAAGCCUGUGAGGGGAAGGAGUCAUCAGGAGCAUCACCUGCCGACUACCCUGGAGACCCAGAGGACCUGCAGCCUACAGAGCCGGAAGACAGGAUGGGAAGUACCUCAGGGGAACCAAACAUUGAUCUGGUUGCGAAACCGGGAACCGAGUCAGCAUGUUUCAGAUAGAACCCCACUGAAGGAUGGUCUUAUUGACUCUGGCCAUUAGGCCAUAUUGCCCUAAGGCUAAAGGCAAUCCCACUGACUCUGGCCAAUGGGUCAUACUGCCCUGCAUCGAAGGGUGUUCCUAUUGACUCUGACCAUUAGGACAUACCGCCCUGAGGAAAAGGACAGUUAUUUGGACUCUGCUGCAGGGCUAUAAUGCUUUCCCCACCCUCAUGGGGUGAAGGUGCUUUUGUAAACAUUUAACAUACAAACUAAGGGAAAAAUCCUAAGCACAUACACAUUUACUUUAUAAAAUCAACCCUCCCCCAAACAAAAAUGUGAAUUGUCAGCAAUGUACCCUCCUCUGACUGCCGUAGUCAUCAAGACACAGCUGUUCCUUGUCAACAAUUAACCACAGGCUUCUUAAGGGCCAGAUUACGGACUAGUGGCUGUACAACCUGGGGGUGGAGGGCCAUAAGGGAUGUUUUAUUCACAAGUAAAAUUUUAUUAAACCCA